rnacentral:rRNA from 1 species
GUGGGGAAUCUUGCGCAAUGGGCGAAAGCCUGACGCAGCCAUGUCGCGUGAAUGAUGAAGGUCUUAGGAUUGUAAAAUUCUUUCACCGGGGACGAUAAUGACGGUACCCGGAGAAGAAGCUCCGGCUAACUUCGUGCCAGCAGCCGCGGUAAUACGAAGGGGGCUAGCGUUGCUCGGAAUUACUGGGCGUAAAGGGCGCGUAGGCGGACAGCUUAGUCAGAGGUGAAAGCCCAGGGCUCAACCUUGGAAUUGCCUUUGAUACUGGCUGUCUUGAGUUUGGGAGAGGUGAGUGGAACUCCGAGUGUAGAGGUGAAAUUCGUAGAUAUUCGGAAGAACACCAGUGGCGAAGGCGACUCACUGGCCCAAUACUGACGCUGAGGCGCGAAAGCGUGGGGAGCAAACAGGAUUAGAAACCCUUGUAGUCC